UUCAGGCUCAGCCAAGGGAUGUGAUGGAUGCCAGACAGCCCUGAUGGCCAUGGUUCUCCUAGCAGGCCCCAGCACCCACACACUGAGGGCAGAGAGGACCUGUAGGAUGCCCAUUUGCAGCCAUGCAGGUCUGUAGCACUGUAAAAACCAAGCAGCCACAGCAUCCUGUGGCACAGGGCUCCCCAGUGCAACCCCACACUCUGUGCAGAUCUGCCUCUGGUUGUUUGCUUUGAACCUGCCACCUGCUACUUUUAUUUGAUGUCCCUGAAGUUCUUGUCUGAGAAGCAACAGCAUACAAUCACACUCUAAUUUGUAUUGAGA